UUGCAUAUCAAUAAGCGGAGGAAAAGAAACUAACUAGGAUUCCCUCAGUAACGGCGAGUGAAGCGGGAAAAGCGCAGACUGAAAACCUUCGGGGAUGUAGUCUGGAGAUGGGAUAUCGAAGCUUCGGAAACCGAUAAAGUGGUCUGGAACGACACGCCGUGGAGGGUGAUAGUCCCCGUUCGUAUCG
rnacentral:rRNA from 1 species